CUUAAAUCCCUCAAAAUUGAAAAGAGCACGAACGGCAGAGUUCAUCCCGCCACUAUAGAGAAAUCACUCAAAAUAUGCCGGUUACUGUGAAUCACCGACGCCAUUGGAAGUAUUUGAUUUCAGUUUAUUUCUUUUUCUCACCACUACUUGGAUGUCUCCACUUCCUGUAAGUUUCAAUGAACCCUAACCUUCUAAUCCUAGCUUCAGACUGUUUGAUAUUAUAUUUGUUUGUUAAAACUUGACGAGGGUUUUUAUUUGAAAAUGAGUUGUUGGGGCCUUGGUAUUAUGUUUAUGUGAUUUGUGGGAUUGAAUGUAGCUGGGAAUUGUUUUGGGCGUGCAUUGGGCAGUGGCCAACAAGUUGCUAUUUCACAACAUUUAGGGCCAGAACACGAUUUCAUUAUCGAUUUGGAAUGAUUAGAAUCUAUAGUACGCUUUAGUCACCAAACUUGUAAUCUGUCUACGUGCCUUUAAAUUAUUCUCCCAAUUAUAAUUUUCUCUAAACUAUGCACAAAUGGGAACAUAUAUGUACAUGGUGAACACAAUUCAAUUACUCUGAUUAAAGAUCCUAUUUUACUCUGAGAUGUGUGUACAUGGUGACCCUAUUUACUGCAUAGAUGCUGAAAAAUCCAGUCCACUUUCUCCCGCAAACAAUUUUGCAUCAAGAAACAGAUUCGUAGGCCCAAAAUGUAUCGAGGUCAAGACUGAAGAGAGAAAAAUCUCAGACUUCUAAAUUCGCUAUGUGCCAAUCGACAAACCGAGCUUGAAUUUCCUUGAACAGUAGCAGGAUGGUGGGCAAACGCCACCAUCUCUCAUCCUCCUUGCCAUUACAAAAAAUUGAACUCUCAAUAAUCUAUCACAAAACCUAUAGCGCCUGAGCCUCAGUUCCCAAUAUCCCUUGGGAAUGUUAGGAAGUUUAAGUCAACAAAAUUGAGUAAUCUUAUCUUUGUGAGACUAGAUAGGCUUUUCUUCUACUCUGGUGGCUUUCCUUGUGUAUUAUCAUUCUUAUCUCUGUUCUCUAUAUUUUGAAGUGUAUUUUUCAUUUCAAUCUGGUGAAAGCAGAGUUCCUGCACCGUUAGUUCAUUCUGUGCAUGCUACAGUAACUAUUGGGCUGUUAGAAUGUACUUUGGAAAGUCUUGGGUAUGACUUGUAUAACUUGUUUUAAAUGCUUGGAGAUAAAAUGCCUUUUAUUGGAGGAGGGACUAUUCUCAUUCAUAAAAUGGGAAUAUGAGAUGAUCAUAAAUUAUAGAUAAUUGUAGAGAUUGGUGAAUUCAUUAAUUUAUGCUCAUGUUAGAUUUUUUUAGCAUAUAAAUUUUUGCAGAAGUUUUGCAUGUUAUGUUGGAGUUAUUUCAUUGAUGUUUAUGCUUCAUAGUUUUUGCAAUUUCAAAGGUGUUUAUAAGAAAUUGUUCUGGAAAGUACGUGCUUCGUUUUCAAUUUCAGUUGCUUCUUUACGGUAAUGUAUUCACUGACCAUUUCCAGCAGUGCCAUACAAUGGAAUGAACUAUGGACCAAAUGGAGUUGGAGGGAGUAUCAGAUCAAUCGGGUUCAGAACAAGGUCUACUAUGAUAUUCACACAUUUUGACUAAACUUUUUUCUAGUUGUGUUGCAGCCAAAAUGUUGGUUUAGAAUUUUAUUCAUAAAUAAAUGCCUUGUUGGUAUAUAUGGUCUUUGAACUUAAUUACAAAUAUUCUUGUCAUUUACUAAGAGGUAGUUAAAAUGUGGCUCUAGACACGUCUCUUUUCACCACUGCUCCAACUUUCCUAUAACAAGGUUUUGAGACUAGCCUUUUUGGUUCUCAUUCCAUCUUUAAGUCGUAGUCGUUAAUAUAAUUUUAUAAAUUUCUAGCUAUCAUUCUUAUAAAUUUUAUGGUCUCGUUAUUUUCACAAAUGGACCUUUUGUUUAUGAUAGUGACUAAAGAAUAUUUAUUCCCAUUGCCACUAUUUAUCUAGUCUAGUUUCUCUAUAAAUUGAUCUAUGAUGUCUUGUGGCUAACCUUCGGUUAUGGAUUUGAGUCACAUUGUC
rnacentral:lncRNA from 1 species